UACGUAGGGUGCGAGCGUUGUCCGGAAUUAUUGGGCGUAAAGGGCUCGUAGGCGGUUUGUCGCGUCGGGAGUGAAAACACCGGGCUUAACUCGGUGCUUGCUUUCGAUACGGGCAGACUAGAGGUAUGCAGGGGAGAACGGAAUUCCUGGUGUAGCGGUGAAAUGCGCAGAUAUCAGGAGGAACACCGGUGGCGAAGGCGGGUCUCUGGGCCGAUACUGACGCUGAGGAGCGAAAGCGUGGGGAGCAAACAGG
rnacentral:rRNA from 1 species